AAAAUACUAAAAUAGUAAAUAAAUAUUUAUUGAAACUUAAAUAAUUUGGCGGUAUUUUAGUUCAUUUAGAGGAAUCUGUUUAAUAAUUGAUAUUCCACGAAUAAAUUUACUUAUUUUAUAAUUUUGUAUAUCGUUGUUAUAAAAAUAUUUUUUAAUAAAAUUAAUAUUUAAAAAUUAAUAUGAAAAAUUAAAUCAGAUCAAGAUGCAGAUUAUAAUUAAGAAUAUAAUGGAUUACAAUAAAUUUAUUUAAAUGAAUUUUAUUUUGUAAUAUUUAAUUGAAGGUGAAUUUAAAUGUAAUUUUAUUUAAUUUAAUAAAAUGAUUAAAAAUUAAAAUAUGU
rnacentral:rRNA from 1 species